rnacentral:tmRNA from 1 species
GGGGGCGUAACGGCUUCGACGGGAUUGAAUCGUGGUGGGGAGGCGUGCCGGGUUGCGAGCCCCCGUAAAACGAUCGCAAACCAUAACUGCCAACACGCAGUUUGCAUACGCUGCUUAAUUAAUUAAGUAGCCGCUCCAGCCGCUGAGCCCGCGCGGCGGUGAGUGAGCGUCAUCUUGCGGGAUUGGCCAAAAGCUUCGGUCCGGAGCCGCAGGCUGAAACUCAAUCGGGCUAGGCCGCCGCCGCUCUCGCCGGUUCUGAAGCGUCGGCCGAAAAUUUUGAGCCGGCUACGCACGUAGGCUCCUCAUGACGAGCUUUUCCGGACCCGGGUUCAACUCCCGGCGCCUCCACCA